rnacentral:sRNA from 1 species
UGCUUAUGCGUUUUGUCACAGAUCCAAAAAAUGACAAAGAGCUGAGGACGUGAGAUGGUGUUG